AGUACAAGUAAUCGGAAUAGACCUCCAGGUGGUACCCCACAAAUAAAGUGGAACACCAGAUAAGCCAUCUCUACAAGAGUCAUAUGAGCCCUCACAAAACAAAACUCAACAAACAAGUUAGAUAAACAAGAUAGGAUAAUCAAGAGUUUCCCCCAAAUCAAAAUGUAACCACAUGAAUCAUGCCAUUAAAAUUCACAAAAAGCUCACAAAGAGCAACCAAGGGUAG
rnacentral:lncRNA from 1 species